rnacentral:tRNA from 1 species
GCCGCGAUCGCAUAACCUGGUAUUGCACGGGCCUUGAGAGCCCGGCCCUUCAGUGGGCCUCUCGGUUCAAAUCCGAGUCGCGGCG